ensembl:lncRNA
GUUUACAUUACUGCACCUCACAUCCUAGCUGGGCUACUGUAGUGACAGUAAAACUGAGAACGCCUGACCAUGCUUGUUCAUCAGUCUGACAGGGUCUCUGUUGAGGUGUGAGCUGACCUUAAAUCAAUGGAUGACACCAUUGAUCAGUGCAUCCCGCAGGAUGCCAGCAGUGUCUGAGAAACACCGAGAACAAAUGCACAGCUCAUCAUUUGAGGAAAGGCCAGCGAUUUUAUGUAAAGUAGAAGGAGCGGACAUCACCGACAUCAGCAGACAUCACAGUCUCUCAGCCCGAGGUGCUUAGGAGGUUGCUCUCGUCACCUCAGCAGCACUCAGCAGUGAAAUGGACAAACCUUGGUGUUGCACACAUGCACAUGGGCUUAAGAUAAUAGCUUUGGACAGACGCAAUCAAUAGUCUUCUCAAAUUGAGCUCUUGGAGAAUCUGUCUGUACACAUGAAAGUUGCAUCACCGCUAACAAAGAGCGCCCAGAUUGACGUCUCUGUCUGUCUGGCCACCUGAGGUACGGCCGGAGGAGGCGGAGGAGUUUAUUCGAUCUGCUCUUUCUUUUUCUUUUCUUUUCUUUUUUCUUUUCUUUGAUCUUGAUCAUUCUUAACCCUUAUCUACAUUUCUUUGUUUUUUUCUCUCUCUCUCUAUAUAUUCGUCUUUAUCACAUCCCUCAUAUCCACUGACUUUUGCUUUUCUCCUCCUUCCUACCUUCUCUUUGUUUUUAAUAUAAUUUCAACUCUCUAAUCUUUUACUUUAUAUUUGUUUUACAUUUUAUUUAUUUAAUUUUGGUAUCUUCUGCUUUGCAAGCACUAGCAUUCCCUUAAGGAAAUGCAAAUCUAGUUUGAUUUGCUCUUUUCUUCUUUACUUCUCUUUUCUUUUGAUCAGGGCGCCCCAUUCUUCUCCGCAGAUUGUAGUUGUGUGCUGAUUAUGAGUGCAGCGGUCUGAAAAUUGGACGGUUGAGUCUGUGGCAGAUUAGAAUUAGAUUCUGUCCAGUGCUCCUCGGGUCCACAGCAGGGCCUGUAACUUUGUAGUGAUGUUAGAA